rnacentral:snRNA from 1 species
AAUUUAAAUUUAUGGAUUAUUGGAUAGAAUUGGAAUGAAACAUAGAAGGUAAACGUGAUCCCUGCAUGAAGAUGAUAUGCGCAAAUCAAGAAAUGUGUCUAUAUAAG